rnacentral:rRNA from 1 species
GUAGGGAAUCUUCCACAAUGGGCGCAAGCCUGAUGGAGCAACACCGCGUGAGUGAAGAAGGGUUUCGGCUCGUAAAGCUCUGUUGUUAAAGAAGAACACGUAUGAGAGUAACUGUUCAUACGUUGACGGUAUUUAACCAGAAAGUCACGGCUAACUACGUGCCAGCAGCCGCGGUAAUACGUAGGUGGCAAGCGUUAUCCGGAUUUAUUGGGCGUAAAGAGAGUGCAGGCGGUUUUCUAAGUCUGAUGUGAAAGCCUUCGGCUUAACCGGAGAAGUGCAUCGGAAACUGGAUAACUUGAGUGCAGAAGAGGGUAGUGGAACUCCAUGUGUAGCGGUGGAAUGCGUAGAUAUAUGGAAGAACACCAGUGGCGAAGGCGGCUACCUGGUCUGCAACUGACGCUGAGACUCGAAAGCAUGGGUAGCGAACAGGAUUAGAUACCCGUGUAGUCC